rnacentral:lncRNA from 1 species
UAAUCUAUAUGACAUUCAUUUACUAUUCUUAAAUUGCAUAUCUUUUAUGACUGAUUUGGAUAUCAACUAUAAGUAACUUUUAUAAUCCUGGUACUUUUGAUAACUAUUUUCCCCAUCAAUCCUAUUUUGAUUAUAUAAGUAAGGCAGUAUUUAAAUCUGCGAACGUUGAACUAAUAGUAAUUUAACUUUUUGGAUCACAAUCGUUUCAUCUAAAGGAUACAGAUGUGAUUAAUAAGAAGUUUGAGCGUUGCUGAUAAACAUGAAGAAAAUGACUCCAGAAAGGCAUAAGUGUACACUUUCACAUAAAGAUCAAGUUUGUGUUUUGUUAUCGUUGACAGAACAUGCUGGCAUUAUUUUAAAAACCAGAACCGUGAUUACAAAUUCAUAAAACUACAUAAAAGUAGGUUCUGGUGUACUUACAUAUGUUAUGGUGACAAAAC